rnacentral:rRNA from 1 species
UACGGAGGGGACUAGCGUUGUUCGGAAUUACUGGGCGUAAAGCGCACGUAGGCGGAUUUGUAAGUCAGGGGUGAAAUCCCGGGGCUCAACCUCGGAACUGCCUUUGAUACUGAGAGUCUCGAGUCCGGGAGAGGUGAGUGGAACUGCGAGUGUAGAGGUGAAAUUCGUAGAUAUUCGCAAGAACACCAGUGGCGAAGGCGGCUCACUGGCCCGGUACUGACGCUGAGGUGCGAAAGCGUGGGGAGCAAACAGG